rnacentral:rRNA from 1 species
AUUGAACGCUGGCGGCAUGCUUUACACAUGCAAGUCNNANNGCAGCACAGAGAAGCUUGCUUCUUGGGUGGCGAGUGGCGAACGGGUGAGUAACAUAUCGGAACGUACCGAGUAAUGGGGGAUAACUAAUCCAAAGAUUAGCUAAUACCGCAUAUUCUCUGAGGAGGAAAGCAGGGGACCUUCGGGCCUUGCGUUAUUCGAGCGGCCGAUAUCUGAUUAGCUAGUUGGUGGGGUAAAGGCCUACCAAGGCGACGAUCAGUAGCGGGUCUGAGAGGAUGAUCCGCCACACUGGGACUGAGACACGGCCCAGACUCCUACGGGAGGCAGCAGUGGGGAAUUUUGGACAAUGGGCGCAAGCCUGAUCCAGCCAUGCCGCGUGUCUGAAGAAGGCCUUCGGGUUGUAAAGGACUUUUGUCAGGGAAGAAAAGGCUGUUGCUAAUAUCAAUAGCUGAUGACGGUACCUGAAGAAUAAGCACCGGCUAACUACGUGCCAGCAGCCGCGGUAAUACGUAGGGUGCGAGCGUUAAUCGGAAUUACUGGGCGUAAAGCGAGCGCAGACGGUUACUUAAGCAGGAUGUGAAAUCCCCGGGCUCAACCUGGGAACUGCGUUCUGAACUGGGUGACUAGAGUGUGUCAGAGGGAGGUAGAAUUCCACGUGUAGCAGUGAAAUGCGUAGAGAUGUGGAGGAAUACCGAUGGCGAAGGCAGCCUCCUGGGAUAACACUGACGUUCAUGCUCGAAAGCGUGGGUAGCAAACAGG